GAUCAUUACUGAGUUUACGCUCUACAACCCUUUGUGAACAUACCUAUAACUGUUGCUUCGGCGGGUAGGGUCUCCGUGACCCUCCCGGCCUCCCGCCCCCGGGCGGGUCGGCGCCCGCCGGAGGAUAACCAAACUCUGAUUUAACGACGUUUCUUCUGAGUGGUACAAGCAAAUAAUCAAAACUUUUAACAACGGAUCUCUUGGUUCUGGCAUCGAUGAAGAACGCAGCGAAAUGCGAUAAGUAAUGUGAAUUGCAGAAUUCAGUGAAUCAUCGAAUCUUUGAACGCACAUUGCGCCCGCCAGCAUUCUGGCGGGCAUGCCUGUUCGAGCGUCAUUUCAACCCUCAAGCUCUGCUUGGUGUUGGGGCCCUACAGCUGAUGUAGGCCCUCAAAGGUAGUGGCGGACCCUCCCGGAGCCUCCUUUGCGUAGUAACUUUACGUCUCGCACUGGGAUCCGGAGGGACUCUUGCCGUAAAACCCCCAAUUUUCCAAAGGUUGACCUCGGAUCAGGUAGGAAUACCCGCUGAACUUAAGCAUAUCAAUAAGCGGAGGAAAAGAAACCAACAGGGAUUGCCUCAGUAACGGCGAGUGAAGCGGCAACAGCUCAAAUUUGAAAUCUGGCCCUAGGCCCGAGUUGUAAUUUGCAGAGGAUGCUUUUGGUGCGGUGCCUUCCAAGUUCCCUAGAACGGGACGCCAGAGAGGGUGAGAGCCCCGUACAGUUGGACACCAAGCCUUUGUAAAGCUCCUUCGACGAGUCGAGUAGUUUGGGAAUGCUGCUCAAAAUGGGAGGUAUAUUUCUUCUAAAGCUAAAUACCGGCCAGAGACCGAUAGCGCACAAGUAGAGUGAUCGAAAGAUGAAAAGCACUUUGAAAAGAGGGUUAAACAGCACGUGAAAUUGUUAAAAGGGAAGCGCUUGUGACCAGACUUGCGUCCGGUGAAUCACCCAGCUCUCGCGGCUGGGGCACUUCGCCGGCUCAGGCCAGCAUCAGCUCGCUGUCGGGGACAAAAGCUUCAGGAACGUAGCUCUCUUCGGGGAGUGUUAUAGCCUGUUGCAUAAUACCCUUCGGCGGGCGAGGUACGC
rnacentral:misc_RNA from 1 species